rnacentral:rRNA from 1 species
UUAGAGUUUGAUCCUGGCUCAGGAUGAACGCUAGCGGCAGGCUUAACACAUGCAAGUCGAGGGGCAGCGAGAUCAGUGCUUGCACUGAUUGUCGGCGACCGGCGCACGGGUGCGUAACGCGUAUGCAACCUACCCAUUACAGGGGGAUAACACUGAGAAAUCGGUACUAAUACCCCAUAACAUCCAGGGAGGCAUCUUCUUGGGUUGAAAACUCCGGUGGUAAUGGAUGGGCAUGCGUUGUAUUAGUUAGUUGGUGGGGUAACGGCUCACCAAGACAACGAUACAUAGGGGGACUGAGAGGUUAACCCCCCACAUUGGUACUGAGACACGGACCAAACUCCUACGGGAGGCAGCAGUGAGGAAUAUUGGUCAAUGGACGCAAGUCUGAACCAGCCAUGCCGCGUGCAGGAAGACGGCUCUAUGAGUUGUAAACUGCUUUUGUACGAGGGUAAACGCAGAUACGCGUAUCUGUCUGAAAGUAUCGUACGAAUAAGGAUCGGCUAACUCCGUGCCAGCAGCCGCGGUAAUACGGAGGAUUCAAGCGUUAUCCGGAUUUAUUGGGUUUAAAGGGUGCGUAGGCGGUCGGAUAAGUUAGAGGUGAAAUCCCGGGGCUCAACUUCGGAAUUGCCUCUGAUACUGUUCGGCUAGAGAGUAGUUGCGGUAGGCGGAAUGUAUGGUGUAGCGGUGAAAUGCUUAGAGAUCAUACAGAACACCGAUUGCGAAGGCAGCUUACCAAGCUACUUCUGACGUUGAGGCACGAAAGCGUGGGGAGCAAACAGGAUUAGAUACCCUGGUAGUCCACGCAGUAAACGAUGAUAACUCGUUGUCGGCGAUACAGUGUCGGUGACUAAGCGAAAGCGAUAAGUUAUCCACCUGGGGAGUACGUUCGCAAGAAUGAAACUCAAAGGAAUUGACGGGGGCCCGCACAAGCGGAGGAACAUGUGGUUUAAUUCGAUGAUACGCGAGGAACCUUACCCGGGCUUGAAAGUUAGUGACGGAUCUUGAAAGAGGUCUUCCCCUCGGGGCACGAAACUAGGUGCUGCAUGGUUGUCGUCAGCUCGUGCCGUGAGGUGUCGGGUUGAGUCCCAUAACGAGCGCAACCCCUACCGUUAGUUGCCAGCAGGUCAAGCUGGGCACUCUGACGGGACUGCCGGUAUAAGCCGAGAGGAAGGUGGGGAUGACGUCAAAUCAGCACGGCCCUUACGUCCGGGGCUACACACGUGUUACAAUGGCAGGUACAGAGGGCAGCUACCCAGCGAUGGGAUGCGAAUCUCGAAAGCCUGUCUCAGUUCGGAUUGGAGGCUGAAACCCGCCUCCAUGAAGUUGGAUUCGCUAGUAAUCGCGCAUCAGCCAUGGCGCGGUGAAUACGUUCCCGGGCCUUGAACACACCGCCCGUCA